rnacentral:tRNA from 1 species
GGGCCCGUAGCUCAGCUGGUCAGAGCAGCGGACUCAUAAUCCGUAGGUCGCAGGUUCGAGCCCUGCCGGGCCCA